UUGGACUUUCGAUUCGUUAUCCGUUUUGAUUCGAAUCGAAAAAUCUGGAUAGUGUGAGUUUUAUUGGAACAUUAUAUGUGAGUUUUAUAUUUAAAACAAAACGUAAAGUACGUGUGAACACAUUUAUAUAGAGUUUAGCUUAGAAGAUCUGUACACGUGACACAUCAACGUGCUCAUUCUCAAAUCGCACGUUUCUAUUAUAUUGUGAAUGCAUUUAUUACAAUAUUUCACGUUUAAUAUAUAACGGAUUAGAGGCAAGGCUGUGUAUCACGUACCAAUACUUAUUCAUUUGUUAUCAUAAAUUCAGUUAGAGAAUAUUUUAAUAUCCAUACUGUAAUUAUAUAUUAUCAUUUUUCUUGGAUUUUUACAUUUUUCCUUAUAAAGCUGCAUAUCAAUCUUAUUAUUUAAUAUAGUCUAUCUCUUUAUUUUGAUUAAUGGUUAGCGGAAAGCCAAUCCUUAGCUUAUGCAUCACUUAAUAGGCUUUUAAUAAUUAAAAAAAAAUUGUUCGCAAUAAACAAACUGAUAUAGUCAAACUUUAUAUGCCGUAUAUAACCGUGUAAAAAUUAAUAUAUAAUUAAAAAGUGUAAUUAUAAGGUAAAUUAAAAUGAUACACUACAAGAAAAUAGCGGCAUACUGAGAGAAUAAAUCGUCGGUAUGUCGUCGGAAUAACGCUAUUCCGACGACAUACCGGCGAAAAAAGUCCUCGGAAAUAACUCUUCGGAAAUUCAUCUUUCCUCGGAAAUCCCUCGGAAAUGUCCGACGGAAU
rnacentral:lncRNA from 1 species